rnacentral:rRNA from 1 species
CCUACGGGAGGCAGCAGUGGGGAAUAUUGCACAAUGGGCGAAAGCCUGAUGCAACGACGCCGCGUGAGGGAUGACGGCCUUCGGGUUGUAAACCUCUUUCAGCAGGGAAGAAGCGAAAGUGACGGUACCUGCAGAAGAAGCGCCGGCUAACUACGUGCCAGCAGCCGCGGUAAUACGUAGGGCGCAAGCGUUGUCCGGAAUUAUUGGGCGUAAAGAGCUCGUAGGCGGCUUGUUGCGUCGGUUGUGAAAGCCCGGGGCUUAACCCCGGGUCUGCAGUCGAUACGGGCAGGCUAGAGUGUGGUAGGGGAGAUCGGAAUUCCUGGUGUAGCGGUGAAAUGCGCAGAUAUCAGGAGGAACACCGGUGGCGAAGGCGGAUCUCUGGGCCAUUACUGACGCUGAGGAGCGAAAGCGUGGGGAGCGAACAGGAUUAGAUACCCUGGUAGUCCACGCCGUAAACGUUGGGAACUAGGUGUUGGCGACAUUCCACGUCGUCGGUGCCGCAGCUAACGCAUUAAGUUCCCCGCCUGGGGAGUACGGCCGCAGGCUAAAACUCAAAGGAAUUGACGG